rnacentral:rRNA from 1 species
UUUCCGGUUGAUCCUGCCGGACCUGACUGUUAACGGAUUGAUACUAAGCCAUGCGAGUCUUUGCAGUAAUGCAAGGCAUACGGCUCAGUAACACGUAGUCAACUUACCCUAUGGACGAGGAUAAUCUCGGGAAACUGAGCAUAAUACUCGAUAGAUCAUAAUGCCUGGAAUGGUUUAUGGUUGAAAUGAUUCGUCGCCAUAGGAUGGGACUGCGGCCUAUCAGCUUGUUGGUGAGGUAAUGGCCCACCAAGGCGAUUACAGGUACGGGCUCUGAGAGGAGAAGCCCGGAGAUGGGUACUGAGACAAGGACCCAGGCCCUAUGGGGCGCAGCAGGCGAGAAAACUUUGCAAUGUGCGAAAGCACGACAAGGUUAAUCCGAGUGAUUUCUGCUAAAGAAAUCUUUUGCAAGUCAUAAAACCACUAGUGAAUAAGGGGUGGGCAAGUUCUGGUGUCAGCCGCCGCGGUAAAACCAGCACCUCAAGUGGUCAGGAGGAUUAUUGGGCCUAAAGCAUCCGUAGCCGGCUCUGUAAGUUUUCGGUUAAAUCCAUGUGCUCAACGCAUGGGCUGCCGAAAAUACUGCAUAGCUAGGGAGUGGGAGAGGUAGACGGUACUCGGUAGGAAGGGGUAAAAUCCUUUGAUCUAUCGAUGACCACCUGUGGCGAAGGCGGUCUACCAGAACACGUUCGACGGUGAGGGAUGAAAGCUGGGGGAGCAAACCGGAUUAGAUACCCGGGUAGUCCCAGCUGUAAACGAUGCAGACUCGAUGAUGCAUUGGCAUAUAGCCAGUGCAGUGUCGCAGGGAAGCCGUUAAGUCUGCCGCCUGGGAAGUACGUACGCAAGUAUGAAACUUAAAGGAAUUGGCGGGGGAGCACCACAAGGGGUGAAGCCUGCGGUUCAAUUGGAGUCAACGCCGGGA